rnacentral:lncRNA from 1 species
ACAACAUGACAUAUCCUUGGCAUCCUUAUUUAUAUAUAUUCAUAAACCAUUCUACAAGACAACUUGUAAGUUAGUACUUCACAUAACAAGAUCAUGGGAUUUAAAUUCAUAUGCAUGUACAACCAAAUUACUUUACGUCAUACUAUUCAACCUUGUUCAAUACUACAACAAAUCAAUGGAAUUCACAUUCAAUCAUUUCAUUACCGUUUAAUUUUCAUUUUCUAUUUGGAAAACUAUAGCAAUUUAAAUUCGGAUACACAAGACUAAUUUACUUCCACAAAUUGUAGAGUUGUUUUACUUAAUACAAACUUUAUUUGAUGUUGCUCACUCAAGCUGUCGAGAAUUCACAACAUGUGUUGGAUCUCAACCAUUGAUAAAGAAUAAUUCGAUUUGCUCAUACAAGUUGUGAUAUUUGGGCUGCUCACACAAGCUGUAGGUCAGAUUUACUUUUGCAAACUUUAUUCGAUGUUGCUCACUCAAGUUAUCGAGAAUCCACAACAUAUGCUGAAUCUCAGCCAUCGAUAAAGAAAUCUCUGACCAACACCUGGUUUCUUUUUGAAGAUUAAUGCCAUGCCAUUCAUAACUCAAUUGUUUACGAAGUUCAACUAGCAUCGUUACCAGUUCUAUAUCAUUACAAACUCUGAAACUGUAUACUCAUUUUUUCACAUUUCGAAUAACAACCCAUAUACAUUUUAACCCUAUAAUACCAUCAUAUACAUACUAUUCAAUCAUAUAUCAAUUUCACAUAUAAUCAUUAUCAUGUAUCUAUUCAUAUUAGUAAUUUAUUUCAUGUUUUUGGUUUAGUCCCUUCGAUGCCAAAAUACAUUAUUUACCUAACAAUUCGAACUAAAAAGUAAAACAAUAUAAUAAAAACAUAACAUAAAUUAAUAAAGUAAGUCUCGUAUGAACUUACUUGAAAAAAACAACAACUAGCAAGAUGUUAAUGACUAAUCUGCAAUUUUGCCUUUUAUUCAAUUAUCUUCCGAUUGAUUCAAAUUUCGAUCUAUAAUAAGUCAUUACAAUUUAUCUAUUAUAAACUAUUUUAAUAGUUUAUUAUAACCAUAAGUUAUUUUAAUUUCACUUUUCAAAAGUUCCUUAAAAUUUUCCAUUUUAUUCAAUUUAGUCCCUAAAACCAAAAUAGCUAUAACUUUCAAAUUUGAGCCUUGAAUUCUAAAUCGAUCUCAAUUUAAUCCUUAUACAUCCCUCUAAUAACUAUAUUUACAAAAAAUUCACACCAAAUUCAAAUUUAUUUCAUUUUAGUCCCUAAGUUCAAAACUAACAAUUUUCACUUCACAAACUAGUCCUUUUUCAAAUAUAAGCAUAAAAUCUAACAAUUUAGUACCAAAAGCUUCAAUACUCAACAAUGAAAACUUUUGUAAACUUUAAUAGUUUUACAAACUGAUGCCUAAGCUAGCUAAAUCAAGCUCCCAAGAUCUCAAAAAACAUACAAAUUAUAAGAAAUGAACUUAAAUUUUCUUACCAAUUGAAGAACCAAAGUUGAAAGCUUCAAACACUAAUAUUUUCUAUGGUUUUCGGUGAAGAGACGAGAAGGGGGAAGAAAAACGAUUUUAUUUUAUUUUUAAUUUUCUUUUAUACCAAGGUUAAAUUAAUAUAUCUUAAUUAACUAAAUUAAACUUUAAUUAACUUAAUAUAAUGAUGAUUAAUAAAUUUGGUGGAUGAAAACUUUCAUCCACCACCAUUUGGUGGUUUAACAAAGGUUAAAUUGCUCAAUUGAUCUUCCAAAUAAUUAAAAAUUUAUAGUUAUAAAUUUUUACCAUUUAGUUCUUCUACUUUAAUUAGUCACUAAUUCGGCAAAAUUACUUAUUCAAAAUUCAAUUCACCUAUAUAAUAACUUCGUAAAUAUUUAAUAAAAAUAUUACGAGCUCAGUUUACGGAAAUGAAGUCCCGAUACCUCAUUUCUGACACCACUAACUUUAGGGUCAUUACACUUGUACCUUGGUUAAAUAUCCAUUUAACAAAAUUAAAAGACCAAACUCUAAUUAAACUUCAUACUAACCUAUUUACAAACUCGAAGAUCGGAAAUGAAAUUUUGAAACCACCGUAUU